AACCUUNUCANGUCUUGUCAUCUAGNGCAAUCCGUAGAAAUACGGAGUUUCCCUUCGGNGACGCUAAGACAGGUGGUGCAUNGCUGUCGUCAGNUCGUAUCGUGAGAUGUUNGGUUAAGUCCCGCAAAGCCGCAACCCUUGUUAUUAGUUGCCAGCAUUAACUUGGGCACUCUAAUGAGACUGCCGGUGACAAANCGGAGGAAGGUGGGGAUGACGUCAAGUCAUCAUGCCCCUUAUGACCUGGGCUACACACGUNCUACAAUGGGCAGUACAACGAGAAGCAAGCCUGCGAAGGCAAGCGAAUCUCUGAAAGCUGUUCUCAGUUCGGACUGCAGUCUGCAACUCGACUGCAC
rnacentral:rRNA from 1 species